GAUGAACGCUGGCGGCGUGCUUAACACAUGCAAGUCGAACGGAAAGGCCCAAGCUUGCUUGGGUACUCGAGUGGCGAACGGGUGAGUAACACGUGGGUGAUCUGCCCUGCACUUCGGGAUAAGCCUGGGAAACUGGGUCUAAUACCGGAUAGGACGAUGGUUUGGAUGCCAUUGUGGAAAGUUUUUUCGGUGUGGGAUGAGCUCGCGGCCUAUCAGCUUGUUGGUGGGGUAAUGGCCUACCAAGGCGUCGACGGGUAGCCGGCCUGAGAGGGUGUACGGCCACCUUGGGACUGGGAUACGGCCCAGACUCCUACGGGAGGCAGCAGUGGGGAAUAUUGCACAAUGGGCGCAAGCCUGAUGCAGCGACGCCGCGUGGGGGAUGACGGCCUUCGGGUUGUAAACUCCUUUCGCUAGGGACGAAGCGUUUUUGUGACGGUACCUGGAGAAGAAGCACCGGCUAACUACGUG
rnacentral:rRNA from 1 species